GGAUGUGAGGUCUAUCUGGCUGUGACAUCUGUCAUCCCAUUGAUCGCCAGGGCUGAUUUGGCUGAUCUGGCUGGCUAGGCGGAUGAACCCUUCCUCCCUCACUGCUCCAGUGUCCCUCCCAAAGCUGCGUGCGUGCUUGGUCAAAGAGGACAGCCUUCCCCGAAUAGAGACAGACUGGUCUUCGGUCGAGAGUAUAUGAGUAGCUGCGUUCCCUUGCUAGAACCUCCAAACAAGCUCUCACGAGAGUCUUAUAUAAUAAACAGCAGUGAAGGGAGUCGGGCUGUAGCGCAGUGGGUUAAGCGCAGGUGGCGCAAAGCAC
rnacentral:snRNA from 1 species